GGCCUUGACAUACUAAGAACUUUCCAGAGAUGGAUUGGUGCCUUCGGGAACUUAGAUACAGGUGCUGCAUGGCUGUCGUCAGCUCGUGUCGUGAGAUGUUGGGUUAAGUCCCGCAACGAGCGCAACCCUUUUCCUUAUUUGCCAGCGGGUCAUGCCGGGAACUUUAAGGAUACUGCCAGUGACAAACUGGAGGAGGGCGGGGACGACGUCAAGUCAUCAUGGCCCUUACGGCCAGGGCUACACACGUGCUACAAUGGUCGGUACAAAGGGUUGCUACCUCGCGAGAGGAUGCUAAUCUCAAAAAGCCGAUCGUAGUCCGGAUCGCAGUCUGCAACUCGACUGCGUGAAGUCGGAAUCGCUAGUAAUCGCGGAUCAGAAUGCCGCGGUGAAUACGUUCCCGGGCCUUGUACACACCGCCCGUCACACCAUGGGAGUUUGUUGCACCAGAAGUAGGUAGUCUAACCGCAAGGAGGACGCUUACCACGGUGUGGCCGAUGACUGGGGUGAAGUCGUAACAAGGUAAGCGUAGAUGA
rnacentral:rRNA from 1 species